rnacentral:rRNA from 1 species
UACGUAGGGGGCAAGCGUUAUCCGGAAUUACUGGGUGUAAAGGGAGCGUAGGCGGCAUGGUAAGCCAGAUGUGAAAGCCUUGGGCUUAACCCGAGGAUUGCAUUUGGAACUAUCAAGCUAGAGUACAGGAGAGGAAAGCGGAAUUUCUAGUGUAGCGGUGAAAUGCGUAGAUAUUAGGAAGAACACCAGUGGCGAAGGCGGCUUUCUGGACUGAAACUGACGCUGAGGCUCGAAAGCGUGGGGAGCAAACAGG